AGUGAACGCUGGCGGUAGGCCUAACACAUGCAAGUCGAACGGCAGCACAGUAAGAGCUUGCUCUUACGGGUGGCGAGUGGCGGACGGGUGAGGAAUACAUCGGAAUCUACUUUUUCGUGGGGGAUAACGUAGGGAAACUUACGCUAAUACCGCAUACGACCUACGGGUGAAAGCAGGGGAUCUUCGGACCUUGCGCGAUUGAAUGAGCCGAUGUCGGAUUAGCUAGUUGGCGGGGUAAAGGCCCACCAAGGCGACGAUCCGUAGCUGGUCUGAGAGGAUGACCAGCCACACGGGAACUGGGACACGGUCCAGACUCCUACGGGAGGCAGCAGUGGGGAAUAUUGGACAAGGAGCGCAAGCCUAAUGCAGACAUACGGGGUGGGUGAAGAAGUCCUUCGGGUUGUAAAGCCCUUUUGUUGGGAAAGAAAAGCAGCAGGUUAAUACCCCGCUGUUCUGACGGUAACCAAAGAGUAAGCACCGGCUAACUUCGUG
rnacentral:rRNA from 1 species